GGCUCUAAUUGUUAUUCUUGUUUCUAAGCAACAUCCCCUUUCUCUUUCUCUCUCUCUUUCUUGGACCAGAAUUUCAUACCUAUUUUCUUUUUAGACUAUGACUAUGAAAUACGAACAUGGGAUUGGACUGUAUAGAAUUAGAUUAGUCCUAAAGCGACCUACUGCUUCUGGAAAGUAAGAUCCACAACCGACGCUUCUGUUUUUCUUAAGUCAC
rnacentral:lncRNA from 1 species